rnacentral:rRNA from 1 species
UUUGAAACACGGACCAAGGAGUCUAACAUGUGCGCAAGUCAUUGGGUGUAAAAAACCCAAAGGCGAAACAAAAAUGAAAAAAGCUUAAGCUUUAUUAGGGAGGAGAAUGUUUCCCUAUUACUUAAUAGGUCAUUCGCACUCCCGGGGCGUCCAUUACUCAUUGCGAGUAAGGGCGCACCAAGAGCGUACACGUUGGGACCCGAAAGAUGGUGAUCUAUGCCAGGCCAGGAUGAAGCCAGGGGAAACCCUGGUGGAGGUCCGCAGCGAUUCUGACGUGCAAAUCGAUCGUCUGAGCUUGGUAUAGGGGCGAUAGACUUAUCGAAUCAUCUAGUAGCUGGUUCCCUCCGAAGUUUCCCUCAGGAUAGCUGGUGCCGAUGAUGAUACAUGAGUCUCAUCCGGUAAAGCGAAUGAUUAGAGGCCUUGGGGCCGAAACGACCUCAACCUAUUCUCAAACUUUAAAUGGAUGUGAACUUUGGCUUGCUUAAAAAGUGAAGCCAAAGAUUUUUUUGGAUCUAGGUGCCAAGUGGGCCAAUUUUGGUAAGCAGAACUGGCGAAA